rnacentral:rRNA from 1 species
GGGUGCGAUUAUACCAGCACUACAGCACCGAAUUCC